AAAUUGAAGAGUUUGAUCAUGGCUCAGAUUGAACGCUGGCGGCAGGCCUAACACAUGCAAGUCGAGCGGUAGCACAGAGAGCUUGCUCUCGGGUGACGAGCGGCGGACGGGUGAGUAAUGUCUGGGAAACUGCCUGAUGGAGGGGGAUAACUACUGGAAACGGUAGCUAAUACCGCAUAACGUCGCAAGACCAAAGUGGGGGACCUUCGGGCCUCAUGCCAUCAGAUGUGCCCAGAUGGGAUUAGCUAGUAGGUGGGGUAAUGGCUCACCUAGGCGACGAUCCCUAGCUGGUCUGAGAGGAUGACCAGCCACACUGGAACUGAGACACGGUCCAGACUCCUACGGGAGGCAGCAGUGGGGAAUAUUGCACAAUGGGCGCAAGCCUGAUGCAGCCAUGCCGCGUGUGUGAAGAAGGCCUUCGGGUUGUAAAGCACUUUCAGCGGGGAGGAAGGCGUUAAGGUUAAUAACCUUGUCGAUUGACGUUACCCGCAGAAGAAGCACCGGCUAACUCCGUGCCAGCAGCCGCGGUAAUACGGAGGGUGCAAGCGUUAAUCGGAAUUACUGGGCGUAAAGCGCACGCAGGCGGUCUGUCAAGUCGGAUGUGAAAUCCCCGGGCUCAACCUGGGAACUGCAUUCGAAACUGGCAGGCUAGAGUCUUGUAGAGGGGGGUAGAAUUCCAGGUGUAGCGGUGAAAUGCGUAGAGAUCUGGAGGAAUACCGGUGGCGAAGGCGGCCCCCUGGACAAAGACUGACGCUCAGGUGCGAAAGCGUGGGGAGCAAACAGGAUUAGAUACCCUGGUAGUCCACGCCGUAAACGAUGUCGAUUUGGAGGUUGUGCCCUUGAGGCGUGGCUUCCGGAGCUAACGCGUUAAAUCGACCGCCUGGGGAGUACGGCCGCAAGGUUAAAACUCAAAUGAAUUGACGGGGGCCCGCACAAGCGGUGGAGCAUGUGGUUUAAUUCGAUGCAACGCGAAGAACCUUACCUGGUCUUGACAUCCACAGAACUUUCCAGAGAUGGAUUGGUGCCUUCGGGAACUGUGAGACAGGUGCUGCAUGGCUGUCGUCAGCUCGUGUUGUGAAAUGUUGGGUUAAGUCCCGCAACGAGCGCAACCCUUAUCCUUUGUUGCCAGCGGUUAGGCCGGGAACUCAAAGGAGACUGCCAGUGAUAAACUGGAGGAAGGUGGGGAUGACGUCAAGUCAUCAUGGCCCUUACGACCAGGGCUACACACGUGCUACAAUGGCAUAUACAAAGAGAAGCGACCUCGCGAGAGCAAGCGGACCUCAUAAAGUAUGUCGUAGUCCGGAUUGGAGUCUGCAACUCGACUCCAUGAAGUCGGAAUCGCUAGUAAUCGUAGAUCAGAAUGCUACGGUGAAUACGUUCCCGGGCCUUGUACACACCGCCCGUCACACCAUGGGAGUGGGUUGCAAAAGAAGUAGGUAGCUUAACCUUCGGGAGGGCGCUUACCACUUUGUGAUUCAUGACUGGGGUGAAGUCGUAACAAGGUAACCGUAGGGGAACCUGCGGUUGGAUCACCUCCUUACCUUAAAGAA
rnacentral:rRNA from 2 species